ACCUACGGGGGGCAGCAGUGGGGAAUAUUGGGCAAUGGGCGCAAGCCUGACCCAGCAACGCCGCGUGAAGGAAGAAGGCUUUCGGGUUGUAAACUUCUUUUAAGAGGGACGAAGGAAGUGACGGUACCUCUUGAAUAAGCCACGGCUAACUACGUGCCAGCAGCCGCGGUAAUACGUAGGUGGCAAGCGUUAUCCGGAUUUAUUGGGUGUAAAGGGCGUGUAGGCGGGAGCGCAAGUCAGAUGUGAAAACUCAGGGCUCAACCCUGAGCCUGCAUUUGAAACUGUGUUUCUUG
rnacentral:rRNA from 1 species